rnacentral:rRNA from 1 species
UACAUGGGGUGCAAACGUUGCUCGGAAUUAUUGGGCGUAAAGCGCACGUAGGUGGUCGUUUAAGUCGGAUGUGAAAGCCCUCGGCUCAACUGAGGAAGUGCAUCCGAAACUGAACGGCUAGAGUACGGAAGAGGGUCGCGGAAUUCCCGGUGUAGAGGUGAAAUUCGUAGAUAUCGGGAGGAACACCGGUGGCGAAGGCGGCGACCUGGGCCGAUACUGACACUGAGGUGCGAAAGCGUGGGGAGCAAACAGG